CAUGAAGCUGGAAUCGCUAGUAGUCGCGGAUCAGAAUGCCGCGGUGAAUACGUUCCCGGGUCUUGUACACACCGCCCGUCACACCAUGGGAGUCGGAAAUGCCCGAAGUCUGUGACCCAACCAUUAAGGAGGGAGCAGCCGAAGGCAGGUCGGAUGACUGGGGGUGAAGUCGUAACAAGGUAGC
rnacentral:rRNA from 1 species